rnacentral:rRNA from 1 species
UACGAAGGGUGCAAACGUUGCUCGGAAUUAUUGGGCGUAAAGAGCUCGUAGGCGGUUCCGUAAGUCGGAUGUGAAAACUCAGGGCUCAACCCGGAGACGCCAUCUGAUACUGCGGUGACUGGAGUCUGGUAGGGGAUCACGGAAUUCCUGGUGUAGCGGUGAAAUGCGCAGAUAUCAGGAGGAACACCGAUGGCGAAGGCAGUGAUCUGGGCCAGUACUGACGCUGAGGAGCGAAAGCGUGGGGAGCAAACAGG